rnacentral:rRNA from 1 species
AACGAACGCUGGCGGCAUGCCUAACACAUGCAAGUCGAACGAUGCCUUCGGGCAUAGUGGCGCACGGGUGCGUAACGCGUGGGAAUCUGCCUUUCGGUUCGGAAUAACUCAGGGAAACUUGAGCUAAUACCGGAUAACGUCGCAAGACCAAAGAUUUAUCACCGGAAGAUGAGCCCGCGUAGGAUUAGCUAGUUGGUGAGGUAAAGGCUCACCAAGGCGACGAUCCUUAGCUGGUCUGAGAGGAUGAUCAGCCACACUGGGACUGAGACACGGCCCAGACUCCUACGGGAGGCAGCAGUGGGGAAUAUUGGACAAUGGGCGAAAGCCUGAUCCAGCAAUGCCGCGUGAGUGAUGAAGGCCUUAGGGUUGUAAAGCUCUUUUACCCGGGAAGAUAAUGACGGUACCGGGAGAAUAAGCCCCGGCUAACUCCGUG